rnacentral:pre_miRNA from 10 species
AGAUCUCAGACAUCUCGGGGAUCAUCAUGUCACGAGAUACCAGUGUGCACUUGUGACAGAUUGAUAACUGAAAGGUCUGGGAGCC